GACGAACGCUGGCGGCGUGCUUAACACAUGCAAGUCGAGCGGUAAGGCUCCUUCGGGAGUACACGAGCGGCGAACGGGUGAGUAACACGUGAGCAAUCUGCCCUUCGCACGGGGGAUAACUCCGGGAAACCGGUGCUAAUACCCGAUACGACCACUUCAGGCAUCUGAUGGUGGUGGAAAGCUCCGGCGGUGAAGGAUGAGCUCGCGGCCUAUCAGCUUGUUGGUGGGGUAAUGGCCCACCAAGGCAACGACGGGUAGCCGGCCUGAGAGGGUGACCGGCCACACUGGGACUGAGAUACGGCCCAGACUCCUACGGGAGGCAGCAGUGGGGAAUAUUGCACAAUGGGCGCAAGCCUGAUGCAGCGACGCCGCGUGGGGA
rnacentral:rRNA from 1 species